UGAGUAAAAGUCAAAAAGAGACAAAUUAUUGUUAAUAAUUUUAAUGAAACCAUUCUUACUCAA
rnacentral:tRNA from 1 species